rnacentral:rRNA from 1 species
CCUACGGGAGGCUGCAGUAGGGAAUCUUCCACAAUGGGCGAAAGCCUGAUGGAGCGACGCCGCGUGGGUGAAGAAGGUCUUCGGAUCGUAAACCCCUGUUGUUAGAGAAGAAAGUUCGUGAGAGUAACUGUUAACGUUUCGACGGUAUCUAACAAGAAAGCAACGGCUAACUCCGUGCCAGCAGCCGCGGUAAUACGGAGGUGGCGAGCGUUAACCGGAUUUAUUGGGCGUAAAGGGAACGAUGGCGGUCUUUUAAGUCGGAGGUGAAAGCCUUCGGCUUAACGGGGGAAGUGCAUUGGAAACUGGGAGACUGGAGGGCGGAAGAGGGGAGUGGAACUCGAGGUGUAGCGGUGAAAUGCGUAGAUAUCUGGAAGAACACCAGUGGCGAAGGCGGCUAUCUGGUCUGUAACUGACGCUGAGGUUCGAAAGCGUGGGUAGCAAACAGGAUUAGAUACCCCUGUAGUC